UACGUAGGGGGCAAGCGUUAUCCGGAUUUACUGGGUGUAAAGGGAGCGUAGGCGGCUUAGUAAGUCAGAAGUGAAAGCCCGGGGCUCAACUCCGGGACUGCUUUUGGAACUGUGCUGCUAGAGUGUCGGAGAGGCAGGCGGAAUUCCUAGUGUAGCGGUGAAAUGCGUAGAUAUUAGGAGGAACACCAGCGGCGAAGGCGGCUUACUGGACCGUGACUGACGUUGAGGCUCGAAAGCGUGGGGAGCAAACAGG
rnacentral:rRNA from 1 species